CAUUUUCAAAGCAAAUCUUCAGUAUCAUACAACACUAAGAAUAUUACCAAGUCCUUCGUAAUGAAGGUAUAUUCUUCAAUAUAGUCUCUGAUUCAUAAAAAAAUCGUUUCCUAAAUGAUUCGGCCAACUCCUUUCCGAUAUGAUAAUCCCACGAUCAGAAUUACAUCACUACAAAAUCAGGAUUUUAAUUUUUAUAUUGUUGAGUCAAGAUGUCUACACGCUACGCUCUUGGGAUCAAUAUUAUGAACAGAACAAUGGAGACAUCGAAGCAAUUCAAAAUACUAAUGAAGACUUUAGCGCUGUAAGUCCUGAUAAAAAAAAUACAGAAAAGAAAGUUUACAUAGCAGGCUCAGAUUAUAAACUAGACAAUAUAAUAAGCGAGAUGUUACACUAUAUAUGUGUUCAUGAAAUAGAAGUGUAUUUCUUUUCCUACAAAGAUGAAGAAUUCAGUUAUAUAAGAAGUUUAAAUUCAUCCUUAAGUGUUUUAAAACAUUUGUUAUCUAAAUAUCCCCAUUAUUUUUACAAGAAACUA